GACUCUAUAGGAUAACGGCUAUUCCGUCUGACUGUCUAUCAGAAGAUUCCGGGUUCGAACCCCGGUAGAGUCG
rnacentral:tRNA from 2 species